rnacentral:rRNA from 1 species
UACGGGUGGCGCUAGUGUUAUUCUUCUUCAUUGGGCGUAAAGGGUGCGUAGGCAGUAAAAUAAGUUCUAAGUAACAGCGUAAACAGAGAGCAUUUCGAUUACUUUCCAUACUAUUUUUCUAGAGUAUUAUAAGAUAUAAAUGGAUCCUUUUAAUAAAAGAAUUUAAAAUGCGUUGGAAUAUUAAAGAGGACGCCAAAUACAAAAGUAAUUAUCUACGGAGAUACUGACGCUGAGGCACUAAGGCAUGGGGAUCGAAUAGG